GAUGAACGCUAGCGGCAGGCUUAAUACAUGCAAGUCGAGGGGCAGCAGGACUGUAGCAAUACAGUUGCUGGCGACCGGCAAACGGGUGCGGAACACGUACGCAACCUUCCUUUAAGUGAGGGAUAGCCCAGGGAAACUUGGAUUAAUACCUCGUAAUAUUUGAGAGUGGCAUCACUUUCUAAUUAUAGCUCCGGCGCUUAAAGAUGGGCGUGCGACUGAUUAGGUAGUUGGCGGGGUAACGGCCCACCAAGCCUGCGAUCAGUAACUGGUGUGAGAGCACGACCAGUCACACGGGCACUGAGACACGGGCCCGACUCCUACGGGAGGCAGCAGUAAGGAAUAUUGGUCAAUGGACGCAAGUCUGAACCAGCCAUGCCGCGUGGAGGAUGAAGGUCCUCUGGAUUGUAAACUUCUUUUAUCUGGGAAGAAACCCAUAUUUUCUAGUGUGGUUGACGGUACCAGAUGAAUAAGCACCGGCUAACUCCGUGCCAGCCGCCGCUGUAAUAC
rnacentral:rRNA from 1 species